rnacentral:miRNA from 1 species
UACAGUGAUCAGGUUACGAGGGA